rnacentral:rRNA from 1 species
CAGUCGCCGCGGGAAUACAGAGGGUGCAAGCGUUAAUCGGAAUUACUGGGCGUAAAGCGCGCGUAGGUGGUUUGUUAAGACAGAUGUGAAAUCCCCGGGCUCAACCUGGGAACUGCAUUUGUGACUGGCAAGCUAGAGUGUGGCAGAGGGGGGUGGAAUUCCGCGUGUAGCAGUGAAAUGCGUAGAUAUGCGGAGGAACACCGAUGGCGAAGGCAGCCCCCUGGGCCAACACUGACGCUCAUGCACGAAAGCGUGGGGAGCAAACAGGAUUAGAUACCCGUGUAGUCCCUGUCUCUUAUAA